rnacentral:rRNA from 1 species
CCUACGGGGCGCAGCAGUAGGGAAUAUUGCGCAAUGGAGGCAACCCUGACGCAGCAACGCCGCGUGGGUGAUGAAGGUUUUCGGAUUGUAAACUCCUGUUGUUAGAGAAGAUAAUGACGUUAUCUAACGAAUAAGCACCGGCUAACUCCGUGCCAGCAGCCGAGGUAAUACGGAGGGUGAAAGCGUUACUCGGAAUGACUGGGCGUAAAGAGCGCGGAGGCGGGACAGCAAGUCAGAUGUGAAAUCCUAUGGCUUAACCAUAGAACUGCAUUUGAAACUGUUAUUCUAGAGUAUGGGAGAGGUAGGUGGAAUUCUAGGUGUAGGGGUAAAAUCCGUAGAGAUAAAGAGGAAUACUCAUUGCGAAGGCGACCUGCUAGAACAUAACUGACGCUGAGGCGCGAAAGCGUGGGGAGCAAACAGGAUUAGAUACCCCAGUAGUC